rnacentral:rRNA from 1 species
CACCGUUGCCGGCGUACUCCCCAGGUGGAUUACUUAUCGGUUUCCCUUGGUCACUGAAUGUAUAUCUCCAACAACUAGUAAUCAUCGUUUACGGCGUGGACUACCAGGGUAUCUAAUCCUGUUCGCUCCCCACGCUUUCGUGCAUCAGCGUCAGUGUAUCUACAGCAAGCUGCCUUCGCAAUAGGUGUUCCUUCUGGUAUCUAUGCAUUUCACCGCUACACCAGAAAUUCCGCCUGCCUCCUGAUAACUCAAGCUCUUCAGUUUUGAUGGCAUGUAAAACAGUUGAGCUGCUACCUUUAACCACCAACUUAAAAAGCCGCCUACGCACCCUUUAAACCCAAUAAAUCCGGAUAACGCUCGCCACCUACGUAUUACCGCGGCUGCUGGCACGUAGUUAGCCGUGGCUUAUUCCUAUGGUACCGUCAAUGCCUCUCGCAAGAGUCUUUUCUUCCCAUAUAAAAGCAGUUUACAACCCAGAGGGCAGUCUUCCUGCACGCGGCAUGGCUGGUUCAGACUCUCGUCCAUUGACCAAUAUUCCCUA